GAGUGCGGCCAUGGAGGCGGGGAUCACCCGAUCCCGUUCCGAACUCGGAAGUUAAGCCCGCCCUCGCCGAAAGUACUGCAGGGGAAGCCUGCGGGAGGAUAGGUCGCCGCACUCG
rnacentral:rRNA from 1 species